rnacentral:rRNA from 1 species
AGAGUUUGAUCCUGGCUCAGGACGAACGCUGGCGGCGUGCUUAACACAUGCAAGUCGAGCGGAAAGGCCACUUCGGUGGUACUCGAGCGGCGAACGGGUGAGUAACACGUGAGUAAUCUGCCCCUGGCUUCGGGAUAGCCACCGGAAACGGUGAUUAAUACCGGAUAUGACACGGACUCGCAUGGGUUUGUGUGGAAAGUUUUUCGGCCAGGGAUGUGCUCGCGGCCUAUCAGCUUGAUGGUGAGGUAAUGGCUCACCAUGGCUUCGACGGGUAGCCGGCCUGAGAGGGUGACCGGCCACACUGGGACUGAGACACGGCCCAGACUCCUACGGGAGGCAGCAGUGGGGAAUAUUGGACAAUGGGCGGAAGCCUGAUCCAGCAACGCCGCGUGAGGGAUGACGGCCUUCGGGUUGUAAACCUCUUUCAGUACCGACGAAGCGCAAGUGACGGUAGGUACAGAAGAAGCACCGGCCAACUACGUGCCAGCAGCCGCGGUAAUACGUAGGGUGCGAGCGUUGUCCGGAAUUAUUGGGCGUAAAGGGCUCGUAGGCGGUUUGUCGCGUCGGGAGUGAAAACGCCGUGCUUAACACGGCGCUUGCUUCCGAUACGGGCAGACUAGAGGUAUUCAGGGGAGAACGGAAUUCCUGGUGUAGCGGUGAAAUGCGCAGAUAUCAGGAGGAACACCGGUGGCGAAGGCGGCUCUCUGGGAAUGACCUGACGCUGAGGAGCGAAAGUGUGGGGAGCGAACAGGAUUAGAUACCCUGGUAGUCC